UGCUGAGUCAUGCAGGUUGUCAGGGA
rnacentral:piRNA from 1 species